rnacentral:tRNA from 1 species
CGCGGCGCGCGUGACGGCGUCGCGGUUCGCGCUGCGGAUGCGGGCUACGAGGCGUCGGUGCGAAUCCGCCGCGCGGUGCCC